UACGUAGGGUGCGAGCGUUAAUCGGAAUUACUGGGCGUAAAGCGUGCGCAGGCGGUUUUGUAAGCCGGAUGUGAAAUCCCCGGGCUUAACCUGGGAAUGGCAUUCGGGACUGCAAGGCUGGAGUGCGGCAGAGGAGACUGGAAUUCCUGGUGUAGCAGUGAAAUGCGUAGAUAUCAGGAGGAACACCGAUGGCGAAGGCAGGUCCCUGGGCAUUAACUGACGCUGAGGAGCGAAAGUGUGGGGAGCGAACAGG
rnacentral:rRNA from 1 species